GACGAACGCUGGCGGCGUGCUUAACACAUGCAAGUCGAACGGAAAGGCUCCAGCUUGCUGGAGUACUCGAGUGGCGAACGGGUGAGUAACACGUGGGUAAUCUGCCCUGCACUCUGGGAUAAGCCUGGGAAACUGGGUCUAAUACUGGAUAUGACCUUUCUCCUUAUGGGGUUUGGUGGAAAGUUUUUCGGUGUAGGAUGAGCCCGCGGCCUAUCAGCUUGUUGGUGGGGUGAUGGCCUACCAAGGCGACGACGGGUAGCCGGCCUGAGAGGGUGAUCGGCCACAUUGGGACUGCGAUACGGCCCAGACUCCUACGGGAGGCAGCAGUGGGGAAUAUUGCACAAUGGGCGGAAGCCUGAUGCAGCGACGCCGCGUGAGGGAUGACGGCCUUCGGGUUGUAAACCUCUUUCAGCAGGGACGAAGCGUAAGUGACGGUACCUGCAGAAGAAGCACCGGCUAACUACGUG
rnacentral:rRNA from 1 species